rnacentral:rRNA from 1 species
AUUGAACGCUGGCGGCAGGCCUAACACAUGCAAGUCGAACGAGUGGCGGACGGGUGAGUAAUGUCUGGGAAACUGCCCGAUGGAGGGGGAUAACUACUGGAAACGGUAGCUAAUACCGCAUACCAUCGGAUGUGCCCAGAUGGGAUUGGCUGGUAGGUGGGGUAACGGCUCACCUAGGCGACGAUCCCUAGCUGGUCUGAGAGGAUGACGAGCCACACUGGAACGGAGCCACGGUCCAGACUCUUACGGGAGGCAGAAGUGGGAAAUAUUGCACAAUGGGCGAAAGCCUGAUGAAGACAUGCCGCGUGUAUGAAGAAGGCCUCCGGGUUGUAAAGUACUUUCAGCGAGGAGGCGUUACUCGCAGAAGAAGCAUCGGCUAACUACGUGCCAGCAGCCGCGGUAAUUC